UACAAGUUAGUGUGGACCUACACUCCCAA
rnacentral:piRNA from 1 species